rnacentral:rRNA from 1 species
GAGCGGUAACAGGUGUAGCAAUACAUGCUGACGAGCGGCGAACGGGUGAGUAAUGCUUCGGAAUCUGCCCAAUGGUGGGGAAUAACCAGCCGAAAGGUUGGCUAAUACCGCAUGAGCCCUACGGGGGAAAGCAGGGGAUCGCAAGACCUUGCGCCGAUGGAUGAGCCGAAGUCGGAUUAGCUAGUUGGUAGGGUAACGGCCUACCAAGGCGACGAUCCGUAGCUGGUCUGAGAGGACGACCAGCCACACUGGGACUGAGACACGGCCCAGACUCCUACGGGAGGCAGCAGUGGGGAAUAUUGGACAAUGGGGGAAACCCUGAUCCAGCGACGCCGCGUGUGUGAAGAAGGCCUGCGGGUUGUAAAGCACUUUUAGUGGGGAUGAAAAGCUCAGGGCUAACACCUAUGGGUCUUGACCUAACCCACAGAAAAAGCACCGGCUAACUCUGUG